rnacentral:tRNA from 1 species
GCCUGGGUGGCUCAGUCGGUUGAGCGUCCGACUUCGGCUCAGGUCAUGAUCUCACAGUUCGUGGGUUCGAGUCCCGCAUCGGGCU